CCACGAUAUGGGCAUCGA
rnacentral:sRNA from 1 species